UACGUAGGGGGCGAGCGUUGUCCGGAUUUAUUGGGCGUAAAGAGCGUGUAGGCGGUUCGGUAAGUCUGUCGUGAAAUCCUGAGGCUCAACCUCGGGCGUGCGAUGGAUACUGCCGGGCUAGAGGAUGGUAGAGGCGAGUGGAAUUCCCGGUGUAGCGGUGAAAUGCGCAGAUAUCGGGAGGAACACCAGUAGCGAAGGCGACUUCCUGGCCUGUUCUUGACGCUGAGGCGCGAAAGCUAGGGGAGCAAACGGG
rnacentral:rRNA from 1 species